UGUGUGUGUGUGUGUGUGUGUGUGUGUGUGUCUAUAGAUGCAUAUUAGGCCGCUGAAAAGUUUUAUUAUUCUUUCCAGGAGAGAGACUGCCAACUUUUGAACCUAACUAGAACAAUAUAUUGCUUCUUCAUAUUUUGAUUAAGGCAAAGAGAGUCUAGUUAAAAAUAAUUCAACUUGUCGUGGAAAUGCUAUAAAUUGCUGUGAAGUGAGUUGCUGGCUAUGGCUUGUCAGAGUAAAUAUAUUGUACAAAUCUUAGGGGAGAAUCAGUGCUCGUGCAUUAAAAUCAAAUCAUCUUGCAGCACACUGAGAAAAAGGUUAGAUUUUUAAAAUAAUUUCAAAGUCAUGAAAAGAGCAAAUAUGCUCCACAAAGAGCCUAGCAACCCUCAAUGACCAAUGCCCCUUUUAUAUAGUUUGGUAUCUGAAUUAGAAUCCCAGAAUCUACAAAUUCCUCUGGGUGAGGGUGCUGCAUUUUGAGGAUUUUAUAACACUGCCAUCACCAAGCUCUCUUUUGAUAUUCACUUUAAGGAGAUAAUUUACGGGCAACCAGAGAGCAUAAACCAAAGUAGAUAUCUAACUAGAUAGCCAGAUACAUCUCCAUAUCAUUGACAGGAUACAUUCUGGCCGAGUGUGAGUACAACCUAUGGAUGUGGUUGGAGAGAACAUGUGUUCCACCUCAAUGGCAGAUCAGGAUUAUUCCUUCUCAUCUGCUGCAAUGGCUCAAUGUGUUAAGGAGAGGAGCGAGACAGCAAGAACCGCAUUCAUUCAGUCAUACAGACCAAAAGGAGGAAUGUCGCCCAGCCCUCUAAACUGACCCAGAACCCAGCUCAUGUCUCAACUGCUACCUCUCCUACUUAGAAAGAAGUAACUCCACCAAAGCAGGGUUCUGGACAAAUAUAUUUUUAUUGAUCAUAUACAAAUAGAUGAAGAUGGACUUGGAUGUUAAGAAAAAUAAUACUAUACAAAAUCAAGAGUAGACAGUCACCCCUAGACUUAAAUUAAGGGUGUGUACAUUAGAUAAUUUAAUCCAAUGUAUCAGGUAAAAACUUGAACGAACCUUUUAGCCUCUUCCUUAAAAUUCAGGAAAGCAUGUCCUCCACAAAACAGAAUCAAAAUAUAAAUAAAAGACUGGCUUAAGAUGAAAGGAAACCUUACAAAUGAAAAGAAGCCAGAUGAGAGGCCCUUAACUGAGAAUGAAAAGAAAUUGAGUGGACAAAAUAAUUAUGAGAUGAACCUUCAAAUCAGAAAGAGGGAAAAAAGCUUAUUUGAUACUAUGGGAACUCAAAAGAGAGUGAACAAAAAUGUGAAAAUUCCA
rnacentral:lncRNA from 1 species